AAGCUGUUAACCUAACCACUGAAGGGAGUAUUGUCACAAGAUAUGUGUACUCAUUGUUUUGGGGAUUCCAGCAAAUUAGUACACUAGCUGGCAAUCAAGUCCCGAGUUAUUUUGAGUGGGAAGUUUUGUUCACAAUGGCUAUCAUCGGAAUAGGACUACUGCUUUUUGCCCUCCUGAUUGGAAACAUGCAAAACUUUCUGCAGUCUCUAGAUCGCAGGAGAUUAGAAAUGUCUCUGAGACGUCGUGAUGUUGAACAAUGGAUGAGCCAUAGGCGCUUGCCAGUAGAACUGAGAAGGCGAGUUCA
rnacentral:misc_RNA from 1 species